rnacentral:rRNA from 1 species
AUUGAACGCUGGCGGCAGGCCUAACACAUGCAAGUCGAACGGUAGCACAGAGAGCUUGCUCUCGGGUGACGAGUGGCGGACGGGUGAGUAACGUCUGGGAAACUGCCCGAUGGAGGGGGAUAACUACUGGAAACGGUAGCUAAUACCGCAUAACGUCGCAAGACCAAAGUGGGGGACCUUCGGGCCUCACACCAUCGGAUGUGCCCAGAUGGGAUUAGCUAGUAGGUGGGGUAAUGGCUCACCUAGGCGACGAUCCGUAGCUGGGCGGAGAGGAUUACCAGCCACACUGGAACUGGGACACGGUCCAGACUCCUACGGGAGGGAGCAGUGGGGAAUAUUGCACAAUGGGCGCAAGCCUGAUGCAGCCAUGCCGCGUGUAUGAAGAAGGCCUUCGGGCUGUAAAGUACUUUCAGCGGGGAGGAAGGCGGUGAAGUUAAUAACUUCACCGAUUGACGUUACCCGCAGAAGAAGCACCGGCUAACUCCGUGCCAGCCGCCGCGGUAA